AUUGAACGCUGGCGGCAGGCCUAACACAUGCAAGUCGAACGAGUGGCGGACGGGUGAGUAAUGUCUGGGAAACUGCCCGAUGGAGGGGGAUAACUACUGGAAACGGUAGCUAAUACCGCAUACCAUCGGAUGUGCCCAGAUGGGAUUAGCUAGUAGGUGGGGUAACGGCUCACCAAGGCGACGAUCCCUAGCUGGUUUGAGAGGAUGACCAGCCACACUGGAACUGAAACACGGUCCAGACUCCUACGGGAGGCAGCAGUGGGGAAUAUUGCACAAUGGGGGCAAUCCUGAUGCAGCCAUGCGGCGUGUAUGAAGAAGGCCUUCGGGUUGUAAAGUACUUUCAGCUGGGAGGCGUUACCCGCAGAAGAAGCACCGGCUAACUCCGUGCCAGCAGCCGCGGUAAUAC
rnacentral:rRNA from 1 species